rnacentral:rRNA from 1 species
UCUAAGUAUAAUGCCAAACAGGGAAACUGCGUACGGCUCAUUACACCAGCCUUAAUUUACUUGACCUUGACAACCUACUUGGAUAACUGUGGUAAUUCUAGAGCUAAUACAUGCACCAAAGCUCCGAUCCUCGCGGAGAGGAGCGCAUUUGUUCGCCACAAAACCAAGCGCCCAUCUGGGCGUCCAGUGCUGAACCAGAACAACUCAGCUGAUCGCACGGUCUUGUACCGGCGACGUGUCUUUCAAGUGUCUGCCUUAUCAACUUUCGAUGGUAGUGUACCUGACUACCAUGGUUGUGACGGGUAACGGAGGAUAAGGGUUCGACUCCGGAGAAGGGGCCUGAGAAAUGGCCACUACGUCUAAGGAUGGCAGCAGGCGCGCAAAUUACCCACUCUCAACGCGAGGAGGUAGUGACGAGAAAUAACGAGACCGUUCUCAUACGAGGCCGGUUAUUGGAAUGGGUACAAUUUAAACC